rnacentral:rRNA from 1 species
GAUGAACGCUGGCGGCGUGCCUAAUACAUGCAAGUCGAGCGAACAGACGAGGAGCUUGCUCCUCUGACGUUAGCGGCGGACGGGUGAGUAAAACGUGGAUAACCUACCUAUAAGACUGGGAUAACUUCGGGAAACCGGAGCUAAUACCGGAUAAUAUAUUGAACCGCAUGGUUCAAUAGUGAAAGACGGUUUUGCUGUCACUUAUAGAUGGAUCCGCGCCGCAUUAGCUAGUUGGUAAGGUAACGGCUUACCAAGGCAACGAUGCGUAGCCGACCUGAGAGGGUGAUCGGCCACACUGGAACUGAGACUCGGUCCAGACUCCUACGGGAGGCAGCAGUAGGGAAUCUUCCGCAAUGGGCGAAAGCUUGACGGAGCAACGCCGCGUGAGUGAUGAAGGUCUUCGGAUCGUAAAACUCUGUUAUUAGGGAAGAACAAAUGUGUAAGUAACUAUGCACGUCUUGACGGUACCUAAUCAGAAAGCCACGGCUAACUACGUG